CAGUCCACGCCGUAAACGAUGGAUACUAGUUGUUGGGUUUCGACUCAGUGACUAAGCGAAAGUGAUAAGUAUCCCACCUGGGGAAUACGGUCGCAAGAAUGAAACUCAAAGGAAUUGACGGGGGCCCGCACAAGCGGUGGAGCAUGUGGUUUAAUUCGAUGAUACGCGAGGAACCUUACCAGGGCUUAAAUGUAGUCUGACAGGGCCAGAAAUGGCUUUUUCUUCGGACAGAUUACAAGGUGCUGCAUGGUUGUCGUCAGCUCGUGCCGUGAGGUGUCAGGUUAAGUCCUAUAACGAGCGCAACCCCUGUUGUUAGUUGCCAUCGAGUAAUGUCGGGAACUCUAACAAGACUGCCAGUGCAAACUGUGAGGAAGGUGGGGAUGACGUCAAAUCAAUCACGGCCCUUACGUCCUGGGCCACACACGUGCUACAAUGGUAGGGACAGAGAGCAGCCACUACGCGAGUAGGAGCGAAUCUAUAAACCCUAUCUCAGUUCCGGA
rnacentral:rRNA from 1 species